GGGUUAAGUCCGUAACGAGCGCAACCCUUGUCCUUAGUUACCAGCACGUUAUGGUGGGCACUCUAAGGAGACUGCCGGUGACAAACCGGAGGAAGGUGGGGAUGACGUCAAGUCAUCAUGGCCCUUACGGCCUGGGCUACACACGUGCUACAAUGGUCGGUACAAAGGGUUGCCAAGCCGCGAGGUGGAGCUAAUCCCAUAAAACCGAUCGUAGUCCGGAUCGCAGUCUGCAACUCGACUGCGUGAAGUCGGAAUCGCUAGUAAUCGUGAAUCAGAAUGUCACGGUGAAUACGUUCCCGGGCCUU
rnacentral:rRNA from 1 species